rnacentral:tRNA from 1 species
GCGGCAGUAGCUCAGUGGUAGAGCAUCANNGCUUCCCAAGCUGAGGGUCGUGGGUUCGAGCCCCAUUUGCCGCUCAA